GUGGAGGUGGCCCAGCCUGGUAAGGCGAUAGACUGCUAAUCUAUUGUCCGAAAGGACCCGGGGGUUCGAAUCCCCCCCUUCACG
rnacentral:tRNA from 1 species